GCCUCCAGAGCCUGCUCACAACUGGUCUACUCAGCCUCCAGUCCAAGCCGCUGAGCACAGAUCUCAGGGCCCUGCACGUUCUGGGCCGUGCCUCCUGACAUCUGAGAUGAGAACGAGCCCUCCAGGAGGUCCCAUAUGAUGUGCCCCUGUGACCUGCAUUGUCUGGAGGCAGUAGACCCAGUAGUUGGUGACCAGGAGUGAAAAUCUGAACAGUCUCCUGUGUGUCCCUGGGCAACUUGCUCAACCUCACUGAUCUCUGAAAAUGGGCACGAUAAUAGGACCUGGGUGGUUGAGAGUACACCACAGGACCACAUGUGCCUUUCUUGGCCCACACUGGUCCUUCUGCCUGGAAUUAUUUUCCACUUGUCAGGUGCUUCUUCACCCCAACAAGGCUCAAUCAAGUGUGUUCUUCUCUGGGAAGCUGCAGACAUCUGACCCCAGGCCACAGAGUCAUACCCAGUCUGGCUCCCACAGCCCUCCCAGGCUGUCUGGUGUCAGUGCAGUGCUGUGGAUGGGAACACACCUCUACCAUGUUGAGCUGCUCUGAGGUUUAAAUGCGUUACUGCUAAUUGGGAUCUUGGAACAACUCCUGGUGCAUAGACACACACAGGACAGACUGGAAUAAAUACUGGUGGUUUAUCACAGGAAGGCUGGCCUCAGCUUGGGAGAGUAAGCGUGCAUGCAUACACAGCCAGCUGAUUUAUUGUGACCCGAGCCAAGCACUGAACAGAGCGAGGCCAUUUAUCUACUUGGUUGGAGGAGAGGUCAAGAGAGAGAAGUCAGAGAUUAAGCUAAAUAGUUCAGUGCCUUUGUUAACUCCCGGGGCGUCUCCUCUGCGCGGCUUGUGUUCCCAGGGAAUACUGUCAUGAGCUCCACAGGGAAGACUGGACUCCUUCUUGGGGAGACAGCCCUGGCCCCAGGGAGCAGCGUGGCCAAGGACAUUCUCAGCCUCUUGGGGUUGCCAAAAGGGAGCAGAAGCAGGAGGAGGGAGGGGGGGAGCUGGGAGGAACACCCCAUCGUGGAAGACCUGCUGCCAAUGCGGGGCUGCAGUCCCAGUCUCUGCCGCCACCAGACCCUGGUCAGGAGACAUCACAGACAGGCUCCCUUCUCCCGCCUUCAUUCAGGGCUCUGCUCAAACAGCCCAUUUGCAAUAGGACUUCCUGCAGUGUCCUAGUUAAAUACCCCAACCCAUGCCCCCAUCGUACGCUAUCCCUUCCCCUGCUUUAUGUUUCUUCAUGGUGCUCAGCACCCUGACAUAUCUAUGUCUGUAUUUGUUUACUUAUUGUUGGGUCUGUUUUUGAAUGAAGUGCUAUGUCUGUGGUGUAAAGUCCAACAUGUGGCAGAUUCUAGGUGCUCAAUAAAUAUCUAUUCAGUGAAUGACGAAUUGUUGCUAAUAGUUUACAACUGCUGAAUAUGUGCCUAGAUAAGCUUUGUAGAUCUCACUGUAUAUAACACCUCAACAGUACCAUGCUGUACAUACUGUCCUUAGGCUCAGAGAGGC
rnacentral:lncRNA from 10 species